GUGUGUAGUUACCAGAGAGAUCGAGAGAGAGAGAGAGAUAGAUGAAACCAGUGGAGAUUUGGUAUGCACGCAUCACGAGAUUUAAACAGUUGUUCUUGGAAACAUUAUCGUCGCCAAAGUUGAAGAAGAUUUGAGAGUUAGGGUUUCAUUUGAAGACGAAGACGAUGCUGAUGGUGGUCGGGUCAGGUGUGGGUGGCGGCGUGGCGCUAUGGUUGUCGGAUUUGGUGGGUUAGCCGGAUUUGGGGGUGUACGGUUAUCGGAUUUGGUGGGUCAUGUGUCUAAUAAUUAACCAGAGUAGAGUCGGUUAAACAACAACAGCAACAUGAAGGAGCUGUGAUUCAGUGGGAUAGGUUUUUGCCUCUUAGGUCUCUCAAAGUUCUGCUUGUAGAAGAUGAUGACUCGACUCGUCGUGUUGUCAGCGUGCUGCUGCAUAAUUGCAGCUAUGAAGGUCUGUUGUAACUAUUGUAUUACGGAUAUUAGUUGAGUGUUACUUGUUUAGUGGUCAAUGAACUGAGAAAAAUCGAGAUAGUCUUAUUUUUGAAUGCUUUGUAUGUGAUACUGUCAAUUCCCACAUGCUUUAUAUGUGAUACUGUUGAUUCCCACUUGUAAUUUGAAUGAUACUGUUCUAAUGGUUUGGUGAAAUUU
rnacentral:lncRNA from 1 species